AAUACAUGUACCAAUGAAAUAAAACGUGCAGAUUUGGGGCUUUUUGCCUCCUACCUUUGCUCUGGGCCCAGAGCUCCCCAAUGAUGACACGGGAGGUUUGUGCAAAGAUCUAAAGUCGAGAAGGAUUAGUUUAAAGAGUCAGAUGGAAAAGGACACAAAUGAAAAUGCCUUCUGCAUGAGCCUGAAAACCAAAACUUAGCAAUGAGCGAUUCUAGCUUCGGAGGCUGUGACAAGUGAUUGCAAAGGAGGGAAGUUUCCAGUCACUUCACAGCAGUGGAUUGAAACGUCCGAGUGCUACAGAUGCUACAGAUGAGACAAAGUUCCGCUGGAUCGUCACAAAAAGAAGCAGUUACCAAAACAAAACAAAAUGAAGAAACGCUUGGAUGUUUGUGAAGACGAGUAGAGUCUUUGUCCUGAUGGGGGUUGAGAUU